rnacentral:lncRNA from 1 species
GUAAUUACUCCAAAAGGGAAAUUUUAUAUAUAAACUUAGGGCUUCUCUUAUUUUGAAGCUUGAUUGAAUAAUUAGUGACAACUGGAGCCAAGUACUUUCUUGAGGCAAAUUCUUUCUAUUCCGACAUCAGAUCAUAUAAGUUCAUUGUGGCUAAGUAUAAUGAAGUAUGUAGCAAAUGAGAAGGUUGUUAGAAAUAUAUUAAUUAAUGUAGAUAAGUCU